CAAAUUCAGACCUGACAACCUCCAAACAUAAUCUGGACAGAAAAUGGUUCACACAUCAUGAAACAAACUUUACUGCAAAGUUCUCUGGAGCACAAAUUCCUGGUGGGCUGGUCCUGUCUUCAUGCAAAAGAUGAAACUGGAGCAAAAAGAGAUAAAAAUCUUCUGAUGAUGGCCUACCCAGGUUGAGGUUUAUGCUGGAUCAACACCAGCCUGUACCAUGAGGAGCCGGACUUUAGACAUAGUUUGAUUGUCCUCUCUGCCUAUCACCUUUAAUUCACAAGUCAGAAGACAAAUAUCCAACUUCUCUUGGACUGUCUAAAUAGAUCUGAUAAGGCUUAACACAGUAUGUGACAAAUGAAUUUGACUGAAGACAGACCACAUGGUCUAGAUCAAGAAAUGGAUCAAACAUGAGAGAAAACAAAGGACAAAACUAUAUGUGCGCAAAAUUGUAAGAAGUAAAAGUUGAUGGGGCCAGCAGGUGGCAUAGUGGUGAAAUCAGUGGGCUUU